rnacentral:rRNA from 1 species
ACGCUAGCGAUAGGCUUAACACAUGCAAGUCGAGGGGCAUCACGAAUUAGCAAUAGUUUGGUGGCGACCGGCGCACGGGUGCGUAACACGUAUACAACCUACCUUCAAUUGGGGGAUAACCUGGAGAAAUUCGGACUAAUAUCCCAUAGUAAACGGAAGAGGCAUCUUUUUUGUUUUAAAGAUUUAUUGAUUGGAGAUGGGUAUGCGUAGGAUUAGCUAGUUGGUAAGGUAACGGCUUACCAAGGCGACGAUCCUUAGGGGUUCUGAGAGGAAGGUCCCCCACACUGGUACUGAGACACGGACCAGACUCCUACGGGAGGCAGCAGUGAGGAAUAUUGGUCAAUGGUCGAGAGACUGAACCAGCCAAGUCGCAUGAAGGAAGAUGGCUCUAUGAGUUGUAAACUUCUUUUGUACAGGAGUAAAGUGAGACACGUGUGUUUUAUUGCAAGUACUGUACGAAUAAGCAUCGGCUAACUCCGUGCCAGCAGCCGCGGUAAUACGGAGGAUGCAAGCGUUAUCCGGAUUUAUUGGGUUUAAAGGGUGCGUAGGCGGUAUUACAAGUCAGGGGUGAAAUCUUGGUGCUUAACAUUAAAAUUGCCUUUGAAACUGUGGUACUUGAGUGUAAAAGAGGUAGGCGGAAUGUGUUGUGUAGCGGUGAAAUGCAUAGAUAUAACACAGAACCCCGAUUGCGAAGGCAGCUUACUAUCAUACAACUGACGCUGAUGCACGAAAGCGUGGGGAUCAAACAGGAUUAGAUACCCUGGUAGUCCACGCAGUAAACGAUGAUUACUAGCUGUUAGCGAUAUAGUGUUAGUGGCUAAGCGAAAGCGAUAAGUAAUCCACCUGGGGAGUACGUUCGCAAGAAUGAAACUCAAAGGAUUGACGGGGGCCCGCACAAGCGGAGGACAU